rnacentral:misc_RNA from 1 species
CCCAACCAAGAAUGCAAGCUGUAAAAAUUCUCAAUGCCCUUAUCAUUGUGGAACUUCAAAGCAGCCCAUACACCAAUCAAGCUUAAACAAAAAGCAAGGAACUGUAGUAUAAGAUGAACCAAUUUUUUGAAGCUUUUUGUUCCCGGAACUGUCUUGUAGGCUAGCAUGGCUUCACCAUUCAUGAGUAUGAGCCCUACCACCAUUAAAACAGGGGGGACAUUGAAAAUGAGAUCUUUGUUAUCGGAGGCGAAAGCCAAUCCUCCCCUGUAAUGCACCGUCCAUGUGAGCACAAGAGCCGUGACUACCAACCCCAGCAACCUGACUACAGCGAAGAUUGGGAAUUUGAUCACCGGAACUCCCAUUGUUUUGACUCUAAUUGUAAUUGCAGGUAGAAAAGGGAAAAAGGGCGAAGACAAAGAAAGAGAGAGGAAUAUGUAGAUUUUGUAAUUAGGGUUUUUGAGUUGAAUUGGGUAUUGGAUCCGUGCUUUGCUUUGUUUGCU